GGAAGGAGGCUUUCCCUUCCCCACCUCCCUCCCCUCCAUCUCUUCCCUCUUUCCCUCUCUCCCCUUCACUCCCCUCCCCCAGCUCUUCUCUUCCCCCUUUCUGUUCUCUUUUUUUUUCUGCGUUAAACCUUUCGGGAGUGUCUUUGUAAACUAUUAAAAAGAGUUAGGUCUUCAACAUGUAUGUUUACUUGCAGGCCUGAGAACUGGAGGAAACUGGAGAAAAGAUGCCCUCUGACUCUUUCUGUUUGGCUGCCCAGGCUCGCCUUGACUCCAAAUGGUUGAAAACAGAUAUACAGUUUUUUCAGGUGCGGAUUUUCUGAGACCACCACUGCAAUCAGGGUACAUGGACAAGGGCCGUUUAUACCCACGUUCACGUAUUCUCUCCACCUUAACUGCUGGCAACCACUCAUCUGUUCUCUGUGUCUAUUAUUUCCCGGCCUGCGGGCAAAGGCGUGGAGGGGCUCGCCAGAGUGGGAUCCCGAGCGAUGCUGUCUUUCGCCUUCGCCUUCCUGCGCAGGGCCUGGCGAUCAGGAUAUUGAAGCCAAAAAAGAAGCACAGAAGGAAAAAGAAAUUGAUGAACAGGAAGCGAAUGCCUCAACGUUUCACAGAAGCAGGACUCCAUUGGAUAAAGACCUUAUUAAUACAGGGAUCUGUGAGUCUUCUGGCAAACAGUGUUUGCCUCUGGUUCAGCUCAUACAACAACUUCUCAGGGCAGUCUCCUUACAGGGAACUUAACGAGGCACAAAAGAAGGCUCAGGGGACAGGGAGGACUUCUGCUGGGAAAAGGCUCCUAGACCCGGUUCUGCCUCUGACUUGCUGGGGGUCCUCGAGAAAGUUGCUUCCCCUCUGUGGUCUCAGUUUCCUCAGGUAAGAAAUGAGGGGUUGGGCCAAAUGGUCUAAGGUUCAGGGAACCUCUAAGUCAGAGCUCAUAGCUGCUGAUCAAGAUGAGGGAGAGGCUCUCAGGGUCAGCCGAAUGCCUGAGAGGCAAGACAGGCCCAAAGGUGAGCACCCUGAGCACAUCAGGUGGGCUCGGAGCUGGUGCAUCAGCCCCACAUUCUGCAGAGCAGCCCUGGACUCGGGAGCCCGCUCACACCAGCCCGGUGGGACUUGAAAGAUGUGAGGGUCCAGCCUCUCCUACUGUUGCAGGGCUGGGGUCUGGGAGCUGCAGAUUCUGACCCCACAGCUACCUUAGACAUGCCAGACGGGCUGGGCAAGACACACCCUCUCUAUGAAAUGAGCAGACAGUCCAAAUAGAUACACUAGAGAAGGGCUGUGGGAAGGACCCAGUGCCACUGACUGCACUGGGUGCCUCCCACAGCCACUAAAGGCAGAGUAGCUUGUUAUAGAUUAGCCUCCCCACAAGAGCAGUUAGAAAAACUGGACAAAAAUGUGCCCCAAUCAAAAACAAUUAUUUGAAGGUAAUUGGAGAGCUCAGCCAGGAUUUGAGUGACCAGGCCUGGGAGGUGACCCUGACAGUCUGUAGUGCUUUCCCACACUUGGUGAUUGGUCAACAGUAGAGGGCUAAGAGGCUAAGAAACUUGAGUAUGAAGUGGUAGUGAACAGGCUGGAGAGCCUAGCUGAAUGUUUGGCACUCACAGGGCUCAAAUGACAUAAUGAGAAUUUGGAUCCCAGUAAGGAGAUGGGACCCUGGAAGGGCCACCCCUAGGAGAAGAAAUGAAUAAAAAAUAGACCAGCCGUCACAAAAACUAAAACCUGCUUUGAACCAGCUUAGUCCCAAACUGGAUGAAGGUGAUCUGCCCUUACUCCAAUUGUGUGCCAUAAAGUCAAAGUCAAUACUCUCUCUCUUGGCCGGGCGCGGUGGCUCAAGCCUGUAAUCCCAGCAUUUUGGGAGGCUGAGGCGGGCGGAUCACGAGGUCAGGAGAUGGAGACCGUCCUGGCUAACACGGUGAAACCCUGUCUCUACUAAAAAAUACAAAAAAAAAAAACUAGCCGGGCGUGGUGGCGGCAUCUGUGGCCCCAGCUACUCAGGAGGCUGAGGCAGGAGAAUGGCGUGAACCCGGGAGGCGGAGCUUGCAGUGAGCUGAGAUCCGGCCACUGCACUCCAGCCUGGGCAACAGAGCGAGACUCCGU
rnacentral:lncRNA from 10 species